rnacentral:piRNA from 1 species
UUCAGGUUGUUGACCAUCAUCAUUGUUUCUGC